GGAGUAGCUNGCUAUUUNCUGACGACCGGCGCACGGGUGCGUAACGCGUAUAGAAUCUACCUUAUACUGGGGGAUAGCCUUUGGAAACGAAGAUUAAUACCCCAUAGUAUUAUUUUUUGGCAUCAUUAAAUAAUUAAAGUUUCGGCGGUAUAAGAUGACUAUGCGUUCUAUUAGUUAGUUGGUAAGGUAACGGCUUACCAAGACUUCGAUAGAUAGGGGUCCUGAGAGGGAGAUCCCCCACACUGGUACUGAGACACGGACCAGACUCCUACGGGAGGCAGCAGUGAGGAAUAUUGGACAAUGGAGGCAACUCUGAUCCAGCCAUGCCGCGUGUAGGAAGACUGCCCUAUGGGUUGUAAACUACUUUUAUAUGGGAAGAAUAAGAUCUACGUGUAGAUNGAUGACGGUACCAUAAGAAUAAGCACCGGCUAACUCCGUGCCAGCAGCCGCGGUAAUACGGAGGGUGCAAGCGUUAUCCGGAAUCAUUGGGUUUAAAGGGUCCGUAGGCGGGCAUAUAAGUCAGUGGUGAAAGUCUGUGGCUNAACCAUAGAAUUGCCAUUGAUACUGUAUGUCUUGAAUUAUUGUGAAGUGGUUAGAAUAUGUAGUGUAGCGGUGAAAUGCUUAGAGAUUACAUAGAAUACCGAUUGCGAAGGCAGAUCACUAACAAUAUAUUGACGCUGAUGGACGAAAGCGUAGGUAGCGAACAGGAUUAGAUACCCUGGUAGUCUACGCCGUAAACGAUGGAUACUAGUUGUUUGGUUUUCGGACUGAGUGACUAAGCGAAAGUGAUAAGUAUCCCACCUGGGGAGUACGUUCGCAAGAAUGAAACUCAAAGGAAUUGACGGGGGCCCGCACNAGCGGUGGAGCAUGUGGUUUNAUUCGAUGAUACGCGAGGAACCUUACCAGGGCUUAAAUGUAGUCUGACAGCUUUAGAGAUAGAGUUUUCUUCGGACAGAUUACAAGGUGCUGCAUGGUUGUCGUCAGCUCGUGCCGUGAGGUGUCAGGUUAAGUCCUAUAACGAGCGCAACCCCUGUGGUUAGUUGCCAGCGAGUAAUGUCGGGAACUCUAGCCAGACUGCCGGUGCAAACCGUGAGGAAGGUGGGGAUGACGUCAAAUCAUCACGGCCCUUACGUCCUGGGCCACACACGUGCUACAAUGGUAGGGACAGAGAGCAGCCACUUAGCGAUAAGGAGCGAAUCUAUAAACCCUAUCUCAGUUCGGAUUGGAGUCUGCAACUCGACUCCAUGAAGCUGGAAUCGCUAGUAAUCGGAUAUCAGCCAUGAUCCGGUGAAUACGUUCCCGGGCCUUGUACACACCGCCCGUCAAGCCAUGGAAGCUGGGGGUACCUGAAGUCC
rnacentral:rRNA from 1 species